AUUGAACGCUGGCGGCAUGCCUUACACAUGCAAGUCGAACGGCAGCACGGGUGCUUGCACCUGGUGGCGAGUGGCCAACGGGUGAGUAAUAUAUCGGAACAUACCCUAGAGUGGGGGAUAACGUAGCGAAAGUUACGCUAAUACCGCAUACGAACUAAGGUGGAAAGUGGGGGCUCGCAAGACCUCAUGCUCAUGGAGUGGCCGAUAUCUGAUUAGCUAGUUGGUGAGGUAAAGGCUCACCAAGGCGACGAUCAGUAGCUGGUUUGAGAGAACGACCAGCCACACUGGAACUGAGACACGGUCCAGACCCCUACGGGAGGCAGCAGUGGGGAAUUUUGGACAAUGGGGGCAACCCUGAUCCAGCAAUGCCGCGUGAGUGAAGAAGGCCCUCGGGUUGUAAAGCUCUUUUGUCAGGGAAGAAACGGUCUACUCUAAUACAGUGGGCUAAUGACGGUACCUGAAGAAUAAGCACCGGCUAACUACGUGCCAGCCGCCGCAGUAACAC
rnacentral:rRNA from 1 species